CAGUCGCCGCGGGAAUACGAAGGGGGCUAGCGUUGCUCGGAAUCACUGGGCGUAAAGGGCGCGUAGGCGGCGUUUUAAGUCGGGGGUGAAAGCCUGUGGCUCAACCACAGAAUGGCCUUCGAUACUGGGACGCUUGAGUAUGGUAGAGGUCGGUGGAACUGCGAGUGUAGAGGUGAAAUUCGUAGAUAUCCGCAAGAACACCGGUGGCGAAGGCGGCCGACUGGACCAUUACUGACGCUGAGGCGCGAAAGCGUGGGGAGCAAACAGGAUUAGAUACCCGCGUAGUCCCUGUCUCUUAUAC
rnacentral:rRNA from 1 species